AUUCCUACGGGGGGCAGCAGUGGGGAAUAUUGCACAAUGGGGGAAACCCUGAUGCAGCGACGCCGCGUGAGUGAAGAAGUAUUUCGGUAUGUAAAGCUCUAUCAGCAGGAACGAGACAAGACGGUACCUGACUAAGAAGCCCCGGCUAACUGCGUGCCAGCAGCCGCGGUAAUACGUAGGGGGCAAGCGUUAUCCGGAAUUACUGGGUGUAAAGGGAGCGUAGACGGCAAUGCAAGUCCGGAGUGGAAUGCGGCAGCUCAACUGCGGAACUGCUCUGGAA
rnacentral:rRNA from 1 species